rnacentral:rRNA from 1 species
CAGUCGCCGCGGUAAUACGAAGGGGGCUAGCGUUGUUCGGAAUUACUGGGCGUAAAGCGCACGUAGGCGGAUAUUUAAGUCAGGGGUGAAAUCCCGCAGCUCAACUGCGGAACUGCCUUUGAUACUGGGUAUCUUGAGUAUGGAAGAGGUUAGUGGAAUUGCGAGUGUAGAGGUGAAAUUUGUAGAUAUUCGCAGGAACACCAGUGGCGAAGGCGGCUAACUGGUCCAUAACUGACGCUGAGGUGCGAAAGCGUGGGGAGCAAACAGGAUUAGAUACCCGCGUAGUCCCUGUCUCUUAUAC